ensembl:lncRNA
CAAUGAGUCAACUCUUCGCAUGAAGUGGCCAACGUACCGGAGUUUCAGCUUUAGCAUCAUUCCUUCCAAAGAACACCCAGGAGUAUCAGCCUCUAAACACUGGCUUCUGGGGUGGAUUUCCUUUGGGGGAACCAACAGUCGUGUUUGAUCCUACUUCAUGGCUGGAAUGGGGCAAGAACAGAAGUGGCCCUGAGAGGACAGGCACAUCCAUUUCCUAACUCUGACGGACCAGUAAAAAUCACUGAAACGUGGCAGCCAUCUUUGUCUCCCCCUCACUCGCCCCGCUUCAUCCGUGAAAAGUCCAGUUGCUGUGGAUUCUGCGUCUCCAGUCUCCCAAAAAUCUGACAAGAACCUGCAGCUGCACUGGUUAUAGUCUCAGACUGUGAUUCCCCAGCCAGGUGCCAGGACAAUGGCUAUCUAUUAAUAUCCUAUGCCAGCUGUUACCUCAACAUGUGGGAUGCCCAGGCAUUGGGGAGAAAGACUCGAUUUUGUCUGCGGCCUCCCCUUACAUUUUUGUUAUUUACCGAAUUUAAUCUUCAAAACAAGCCUGGAGGCAUUACUGUCCACAUGUUUGCAAAUGAGGACACAGGCUGAAGGAGGAAGAGCUGAGACACUCAAUAUUCCAGGAGCCAAACUUGAGAUCUCAGAGUCAGGCGGAUUCUCUACCACCAACAUCAUCUGGGAAGCCCACAUCAUCAUAAAAUGGGAAAAUUUGGACACAAACACUGUCACACAAGGUGAACGCCAUGUGAAGAUCAAAAUCAGGGUCCUGCAUCUGCAAGUCCAGAGAGGUAUCAACCUGACUCUUCGUACUAUGAGACUGAAGAACAGCAGUAAAGUUCUCAGAUCAGGAUCUGAUCCCACCGGCUCAACUACUCAACCACUGGGAAGACGCUACCAUGCGGAUGGAUACUGUCAGUGGGCUCCCCCUGCUGGAAGAGUCAAUGAUAUACUCAAACUGCUCUCUGGCUGUAUUUUUACCUGUGUCUCCAGGUACAGUUGGAGAAGACUCCUGAGAGUCCCUUGGACUGCAAGGAGAUCCAACCAGUCCAGUCUAAAGGAGAUCAGCCCUGGGUAUUCUUUGGAAGGAAUAAUGCUAAAGCUGAAACUCCAGUACUCUGGCCAACUC